UCUCUCUCUCUCUUCCUCUCACAUAACACACAGAGAAAAUUUUCCUGUUACAAAUUGUAAGAAUUAUUUUUCCUGACAUCUAUGCCAAAAACAUGGCUAUUCUCUAGCAAUUUGCCAAAACUUGAUAAUGCUAAAAUAACGUCUUGCACAUACUAUCCCAAAAAUGAGAAGAGAACUGAGUUGCAGAAGAAAUCCUUCAUGUAGAAGCCUUGAGACAAGAAUACUAGCUAUGAACAAAAAAUAUCCUAUGUGAUGGGAAUUUCUGUGUGAACUGCUUCCAAAACCCAAGUUAAUCUAUAUUGAAAGUGCCAUUUUCAAGUUGAAUGAGUUGUUAUAAAACCUUACUGUUACUGUUUCUAUUUUUGUCCUUGUUAUUAUUCUAAGCACACUUAUUGUUUGGGGAGCAAUGAAAAUUGUAUAAUGUUCAAAGGUAGAAAGUAUCAGUAUUUAGUGCAAGCCUUUUGUCACUCUUCUCACAACAAAUCACUUGUAAUAGCAAUGGUGUAAAAAAUGGCGAUGGCCCCACCAAACUUGCAGCAUUCUGCACUUCAGUUUACCAGGGCUACACUAGCUGCAGGUUAAAACCAGCAUGACUAAGUCAGUCAAGGAAAAUGCUUUACCCUCAAGGCUUUCUAUUCCACUCCACUAUUAUGGGGAUGUCUCAGCCACUUUCAAAGGAAUGGGAGAUUUGUAGGGUAGAAGCUACCAAUUAUGUGUAACCAGGAGUGAAUGCAGACUUCAGAACACCAAAACUUUCCACAUAUCACAUGGUAGUUAUAUUACUGACAUUUUUUGCAACUUCCUGAUAUUUUGAAAAUCCUCAGAUUGUAAUUUAGAUUAUUAAACCCUUGGUUUGAGAGAGCAAUGGGAAAGCAAAAGUUCACUACUGCUCUUUCUCAAAAGAAGGGCUGUGUCCAAAAAAGGGGGUUUGGCUUUAAACACAUUCUUGUCUAAUGCAAUCUAAUCUAACCACCAAGUCAAACCUUAAUACAGAAAGAAGAUCUUAUCCUGAAACAACUGGUAUGGUUGCAUAUGUUUUCUGUGCAUAUGUGUGUGUUCUGUUUAUGUAUGUAUAGAUGUGGUCAUGACUUAUGUGGGUACAAGCCAAAAAUAGUUAAAAGCACAGUGUAUAUUCUAAUGAUGUUUAGUGCCAUGACACUAAGUGAAACAGCAGAAGUAGGAAAUCUCAUGGCAAACUUAUUCUUGUGCUAUGGAACUGAACAAGUCCUCUAGCAAGAAGAAGCCCAAGAAAAGAAACAGUUAUACAGUUUGUCUUCUUUCUUAAGAUGAAAAGUGAAAUCAAUUUGGGAAGUAAAAAUACAGGUCACAGGAAGAACAGGAAAGGAACAAAGAGACAGAAGGAGUAGUUGCAGAGAGAAAUGUCAGGUAAGCCUAUUUGGUGAAAGCACUUGAAAGCACUUUGAAAAAUAACAAUGGUCUCCAAGGAUUUCUGAUGGAGCAGUCUCACAUUCUGUAAUUUGCACUGAAGGUUCUCACAUACAAGCAGCAUCUUGAAAUGUCACCUUUUCUCAUCUCUAAUCUCUCCAGUGGAUGUCCAGCUAAGCACCUGGGGAUCUCACAGCAACUAAGCUGUUAAACUUUUAUCACCCGAAAGAGUAAACCUUGUCACCUUGAACAGGAUUUUCUUCACGGGAAUCUAGUACUAUGAAUUGGAGUCAGGACUUUUCUGCUAUUACCAUCCAAAAUGUAAAACCCAAGUGUUAAUAUUCUGUAAUGAAGACAUGCAGAAGGGGCAGUAAAUACCUCCAGAAAGGUAAGGAGCAUAGGCAGGUAGUGUUGUUGGUCCAGAACUUGUGAACUGUCUCACGUCUAACACUGUGACCUUGGGUAAGCAGCCUGACUUGCCUGCAUUUCAGUUUUGUCUUCUCUAAAUUAGUGCACUUUGGCGCCAAAGAAACUUUAAGACAUGUAAUCAAUGCAUACACACAGUUUUGAGGGUAUUACUUUUUGCAGGUACUAAUUUUGAUAUUUGGUAUUCUAAGACAUUGUUUGAUUUUUCUCCUUUGGUACAUGCUGGUGACUUCUCUGUACAUUUAAAAUCCUGAACAGUUCACAGAACCAAAAUAGAGCAGGACUCUUGGAGAUAACCGAACUGUGAGGCCAAUAUGGAAAAAUGCUACAGAGUUUGAAAAGCAAUGUGUGGAAGAGAUAGUGGAAGGAAGAAAAAAUGAUGGCAAGAAAGGACAUGACUGCUUGUGAUUGCAGUCCUCAAGCCAGCUCAGUAAUGCUUCUGGGAAAGCAAAAAUGGGAUGUAAGAUGAAUGAGAGACUGGUGCAGAAGAGGAGAGAGACUGCAGAGCUGUCCCUACAGACUCUGCAUAUAUGAGGUGGAAGUAAGCAGUUACUACACAACUGUACUCAUCAUGUGGUUCCAGAUGGCUGCUGCUUCGAAGUUCGGCAAAGAAUGGCUGCAGCGGCGGCGGAUUGAUCAUCCCUUUGCUGGAAGGACGCGGCACUACAUUGUUGCUGAUCAACAGCGCCACUUUCUGCUGAAAGAAAAUCAUUACAUCUCGGGGAGAGGCAAUCUGGUAAACUGAUUUCAGUGACGAUGCAAAUCACAAACCUUCCUCCUUGGUAGCUGGCUGGCUGUAUAAGAAGCUUCUUCAUCAAAAUACGCAAAGUGCAUUCCACAAAUGUUGCAGUCUGAUAAUGAGGCCUGAUGCUUAGAUGGAAAUGGAAAAAUGCAUGUUUGCUUUAGAGUUUUGUUCAAACAAUUUCAUUCUUACUUCCCCACCAGCAUCACCACCAUCUUGACCAUUCAUGCAUCACAACCUUAUGUCCAUAGUCUAAUGGAUGAUGUAAAUGCUGUGAUUUACACAUAAAAAAAAAUCUUGGGAAGACUGCAUUAUUUCAUGUCAUUGCCUAUUUCAACAAAUGCACAUAAGAGUUCAUGAAGAUUCUUCACGGAAACAGACUUUUUUAAAAAAUAUUUCCAUGUAUAAUCCAGUGGGUAUUGAUAACUGCUAAAGCUCACAAACUA